UACGUAGGGUGCGAGCGUUGUCCGGAAUUAUUGGCGUAAAGAGCUCGUAGGCGGUUUGUCACGUCUGCUGUGAAAUCCCGAGGCUCAACCUCGGGCCUGCAGUGGGUACGGGCAGACUAGAGUGCGGUAGGGGAGACUGGAAUUCCUGGUGUAGCGGUGAAAUGCGCAGAUAUCAGGAGGAACACCGGUGGCGAAGGCGGGUCUCUGGGCCGUA
rnacentral:rRNA from 1 species